rnacentral:tRNA from 3 species
CGCGGGGUGGAGCAGCACGGUAGCUCGUCGGGCUCAUAACCCGAAGGUCGCAGGUUCAAAUCCUGCCCCCGCAA